AUAUCCAGAGCAUGGGACCAGGAGCUGGACUCACGGUGGGAUCUCUGAUCAGUCACAGAAGGAGCUUGACGAGCUCAUGGGGUCUCUCUCCCUAGGUGGAGAAGACAGGGCUCCAAAUGGACUUCCAGUCCCAUCCACGUCACAGAGGCAAAUUGUCAGAGACAAAGACCUAAGCCGGUCCUUUUCCAGGAGUAAAUGACCAUCGUGCGCCCAUGGGAAGAGUGCUGCAUCCACGGAGGACAUGGGCCAACAGUGCUCUCAAAUGGGUUUCAUGAAAGCAUCUGUGACUCAUCCCUGUUCAAGAAUGUUUUCAUUACGAUUCAGCAGAAGCGAUGUGCCAGCUUUUGAUAAUGUGGCUACUUAAAACAACUGAAAUAACACAUGUGGUCCCAUUGUGGCCACAUUAGAUUUCUACUGGCCAGCGUGGGACUAGACUCAGGCUAAGGUCCUCCCAACUCAGCUCCAGGUUUAUGAGCCGUAACUCAGCAGAAGCCUAGCAUGAGAACAACUCAUCUGAAGCUCCAACAUUUGGGGAAUGCAACCUUUCGACAGACAUUUGCUGAAUGGAUAGGAGACUCCUGAAAGCAGAAUUCUGCACAUUCUGUGGACCAGCCCUGACUACGGAGAGCAGGUGUUAGCCAGUAUCCAUGCGCAGUGCCUCUUAGUCUUACCUGUCUGCUGCCUUACGCAAGCAUGGAGCUUAAUAUGCUAGCUGUGUUCUCCUAACCUCAGAUAUCUGUAAAACCAGCCACAGUAAGAUAACAUGGUAGAGCACAAAAUGCUUAGAAGAGAUUUAUUUGAAGCAAUGCUUCCCAGAAGUUUUUCAAUGCAGCUUAUGGCGAGAAACACAUUUUACAUCUCUACUCAGUACGCAGCCACUCAUACUCAACUGAAACAUCUUCUGAAACAAUAUUUCACUUCACUCUCUGCAAUACAGAAAAUACCAGAUCGUAUUGUAUGUUAUUUCAUUGUUUUAAAAUCCUGAGCCUAGCUUGCUAAUAGAUUACAACUCAGUUUGAAAAGCACAGGCUAAGGGGCUUCAAAUAGGGGUGACACAUUGAACACACACAUUUAUCACCUCUCCCUUCACAGAUCUCAUUAAAAUGAUAAUAAAGGAACAAAAUGGCAGAAAUCCACAAGGACAAACAGCAAACAAGAGGGACAUCAGCAGAUAGGCAACCUCAACAAGUAUAUCACAAUGAGUGACACACCCCCUAUAACAGCCAAUUUUGAUGGUCCUCCCAUAGCUCUUGCCUUAUUCUUUGUAAUAGGAUUCAGAUUGUUUAAAAUCCCCAUAUUCUACCGCAAAGUCAUGUUAUCAGGAAAGACCAACCCUAACCCCAGUUCCAUGGAGUAAAGAUUAAUUAAUCUAAACUCUAUUAAUUGUAUUCCCUUUAUCUGGUGAUAAGUUUAAGAGCUGAUCCCUUAAUUUUGGACAUGGGAGCACAAGAGAAACUCACUCAAGACUGGGAUUAAUUGUAGGAAAUAUUUCACAGUUUCCACAAGUCAGAAGAGCUAAUCCCAACCCUCUGUAUCUGGAACAUACACUGCUGCCAUUUUCUGCCCAUGAAGGGAAAUACCCAAGGUACUCUGGCAGAACAGAUUUUUGAAAACUUGAGUCCCUGAUGAUGUAAGUCAGCCACAAUGUUAAUCAACCCCAGAGCCACCUUAUUUCUAGACUUAUUAUGCAAGAUAAAAAAAAUCAACUUGCAGUAUGAACCACUUUUAGUUGGGUUUUAUUUCGGCAAACAUAUGCCAAGGCACAGCAUAAAAUUCCACAAGGGACAAAUCAAUGAGCCCAGAACUUCCAAUGAGGGGGACAACUAAGUCAUAUACACAAUAACUAGAAUGUAAAUGGUAUUGAACUUCAAGCACAACAUUGGAUGCUAGAAAAAAAGAAUGCCUUCAAAGUUUUAAAAGAAAACACUUUUCUACCUUGAAUUCUGCAAUCAACCAUACCAUUGAUCAAGAACAAAAGUAGAUAGAAUUAUCCUUAGACAUGCAAGGACGAAAAUUUACCUUCCAUAUGCCUUCUAGGAGCUAAUAGUUGAUGGGUUUCAGGAAAAGAAAGGAAUAUAAAUGAAAAUAAGGGAAGAGAAGGGACCUAGGAACCAGUGAGUCCAGUCAGCAGGGUGGAAGAGCUGACAGCUACACUGUGCAGUCCACACAAGAGUAGAAGGGGAAGACAUCCAGGGAAAAAUUACAUAGACUUAACAGAGUAGAAAUAUGGCAGAUCUAGUGGCAAAGUGAUCAUCAGAAAGAAAUCAAAUAUGCUGUACUGUAUAACGAAUUACCCUGAGACUUUCAGACUUAAAAUAAGCAUUUAUUAUCUUCUAUUUUCUGAGCAUGAGGCAUCUGGGAGCAGCUUAGCUGGGUAGUUUCAGCUCAGGAUCUCUUCUGAGGUUGUCAAGAUGUCAGCUGGGGCUCCAGUCAGCUGAGAGCAUGACCAGAACCGUAGAAUCAGCCUCCACCAUGGCUGACUCAUGUUGCAGUUGGCAGAAGGCCUCAGUUCCUUGCUGGCUGUGGGCAACAGGCCUCAGCUGCCUGCCACAUGGACCUGUUCAGAGGGCUGCUCAAGUGGCCUAACAUGGCAGCUGGUUUUCCCCAAAGCAAUCCAUGAGAAAGUUCGUGGGGGGGGGCUGUAAUGCCUUUUAUGACCUAGUCUCAGAAGUCACAUGUCAUUAUUUCUGCCAUGUUCUAUUUGUUAGAAGCAAUUCACUAAGUACAGCCCACUUAUAAGGCAAGGGAAAUAGGGCUCUGCAUUUUAUAAGAAUAUUGAAUUUUUGACAUGUUUUUAAACUAUUACACAUAUGCAUAUAAAAGUAGCAUGUAAGUUAAUAAGUGUGGCAAAGAGAUAACUUCAAGGGAAACAAAAUCUAAAGAAAAAAUGUAAUCCUAAUGCACCACGCAGAUUUGCUAUUAACAAUAUCGACAUAGUUUUGGUGUUAUAAAGUGAUUAUUGAUGUAAUUAAAAGCAACUAUAGGCCAAGCCCAGUGGCUCAUGCCUGGAAUCCCAGCACUUUGGGAGGUGGGCGGAUCACCUGAGGUCAGGAGUUUGAGACUAGCCAAGAUGGUGAAACCCUGUCUCUACUAAAAAUACAAAAAUUAGCUGGGCAUGGUGGUGGGUGCCUGUAAUCUCAGCCACUUGGGAGGCUGAGGCAGGAGAAUUGCUUGAUCCCGGAAGGAGGCAGCUGCAGUGAGCUGAGAUCAUGCCACUGUACUCCAGCCUGAAUGACAGACUUAAACAAAAAACUAUGCAGCUAUAUAAAGAGGGAUGAGGAAAGAUAAGAGCAUAAGGGAGCCAACUUUUCAUUAACUCUGAGGAAGCCAAUUGAUAUUACCUGUAAUUGAUAAAUCAAAAAACUAUGAUCAAGACAGUCUUGCACUGGCAAAAUAGGUCAAUGACCAUAUUUGUUCAUUGAAAAAAUAGAAAACCCAGACAGACCUCACCCAAAUAUAAUCAACUGAUCUUUGACAAAGGGGAAAGGAUAGUCUUUUCAGUAAAUGGUGCUGAAACAACUGGACAUCCACAUGCAAAAGAAUCUAGUCACAGACUAUAUCCUUCACAAAAAUUAAUUUAAAAUGGAUCAUAGAUGCAAAUGUUAAACCUAAAACUAAGACUCCUAGCAGGUCACAUAGGAAAGCAUCUAGAUGACCCCUGGGUUUGGGAAUGACUUUUUAGACAACACCAAAGAAAUGAUUAAAGAAUUGAUAAAUUGGACUUUAUUAAAAUUAAAAACUUCUGCUCUGUGAAAGGCACUGUCAUGAAAAUAAGAAAAGCCACAGAUUGGAGAAAAUAUUUGCAAGAGAUAAAUCUGAUAAAGGACUGUUAUUCAAAAUAUAUAAAAAGUCUUAAAACUCAAUAAGGAAACAACUUAAUUAAAAAUGGGCAAAAGAUCUGAACAGAUACCUCACAAAAGACAUACAGCUGGCAAAUAAGCAUAUGAAAAGAUGCUCCACAUCAUAUAUCAUUAGAGAAUUGCGAAUUAAAACGAGAUACUGCUACACACUUAUUAGAAUGGCCAAAUCUAGAAUACCGUCAACACCAAAUGUUGGCAAGGAUGUGGAGCAUCAGGAACUCCCAUUCAUUGCUGUGUGAAUGCCAAAUAGUAGUUUGGAAGACAGUUUGGCAGUUUCUUACAAAGCAACUACUUUUGCAAUAUACUCCAGAAUUUGUACUCCUUGGUAUUUACUCAAAUGAGUUAAAAACAUGUCCACACAAAACCCUGCACAUACCCUUCACUGCUUCCAUGUUGUAGCAACCAAUGAAUAAAAUUGCUAGAAACAAUGUCCUUCAAUAGGUGAAUGGAUAAACCAUCGUGCAUCAAGACAGUGGAAUAUUAUCCAGUACUAAAAAACGCAAUAUGGAAGCCAUGAAGACAUGGAAGAAACUUAAAUGCAUAUUGCUAAGUAAACAAAGCCAAUCUGAAAAGGCUACACAUGCUGUAUGAGUCCAACUAUGUGACAUGCUGGAAAAGACAACUAUGGAGACAGGAAGAUGAUCAGUGGUUGCCAGGAGUUAGAGGGGAGGGAAGGAUGACUAGGUGGAGAACAGAGGAUUUUUAGGGCAAUGAAACUGUAUAUUACAGUGAUGGAUUCAUGGCAUAAUACAUUUGUCUAAACCCAUAGAAUGUACAACACCAAGAGUAAACGCUAAUACAAACUGUGAACUUUGGGUGAAAAUGAUGUGUUAAUGUCAGUUCAUCAGCUGUUACAAAUGGACCACGCCGGUACAGGAUGUUGAUGGAAGCAACCGUUUAGGGGUGGGGGCAGGCAUAUGGGAACUCUGUACUUUCUGUUCAGUUAUGCUGUGAGCCUAAAACUGCUCUAAAAACAAAGCCUAAUAAGAAAAAUC
rnacentral:lncRNA from 1 species